rnacentral:rRNA from 1 species
GAUGAACGCUGGCGGCGUGCUUAACACAUGCAAGUCGAACGGAAAGGCCCAAGCUUGCUUGGGUACUCGAGUGGCGAACGGGUGAGUAACACGUGGGUGAUCUGCCCUGCACUUCGGGAUAAGCCUGGGAAACUGGGGCUAAUACCGGAUAGGACCACAUUUUGGAUGGAGUGGUGGAAAGUUUUUCGGUGUGGGACGAGCUCGUGGCCUAUCCGCUUGUUGGUGGGGUAAUGGCCUACCAAGGCGUCGGCGGGUAGCCGGCCUGGGAGGCUGUACGGCCACCAUGGGACGGAGAGACGGCCCGGACUCCGACGGGAGGCACCAGCGGGGAAUGUUGCACAAGGGGCGGAAGACUGAUGCAGCGACCCCGCGUGGGGGAAGACGGACUUAGGGUUGUAAACCGCCUUCGCAUGGAACGUAGCGGUAUGUGACGGUACCUGGAGAAGAAGCACCGGCUAACUACGUG